UGUUGAGUAUAUGGACCCAAAUUCGCUUUACGCUUUUCCUCCCAUAACGUGCUCGACCCAUCUCGCCCAUUAGACCGAGCCGUACACGUUUGUUUUGCUGGGAGCCUAGGUCUGCCUGACUGCCCCCUACUAGUGCUGUGCGAAUAGCCGCUUGUCGACUAUCGUCGUCCCGACUGCCGUCGCCCUUCGGCCAUCGCCUAGGGCCCAGGCACCCAGCUGCGAGCCACUGGCCGCCCGGCGCGGCGAUGCCCCGUUCCGGGGCCCCGCCGAUCGCCGUGGGCCCUUGGCGGCUUGGCGCCCUCUGCUGCUCCAUCGUGUGGCUUGUGCAGCACUGUAGUAGAGCCACGCUGGCGGUUGCCGCCGUGCAGUUAGCGCCUGUCGCGGUGUCACCCCGUCCGCCAUCAAGGUCGAGGCUCAUCCCAGGAGGCAGCCGUCCGCCGAUUUGUGAAGUUGAAGUUGAGAUUUGAAAAUGAAGAGGAAGAUCAAUGCUACCACUGAUUUGAGAGCUUUUUUAGCAAGAGCUGCUGCAAAAAAGAAAGAUAGUGCUGCUCCAUCUUCUAAUGAAAGAGAGAUGCAAUUGGUGAUAUUCCAAGGACAGACUGAAACUAAUAAUGCAACGCCCGCAGAACGAGAGAGUUGAGCCUGAACCUCCAAUAAUAGAAGAUGUUGAAGACAAUGAUGAUUUUGAAUCAGUGCACUUGAAUGGGACAACAUCGAGUGAGGAUAAUGAUAGUGAUGAUAAUGAUAUUUAUGGCAUUGAGCAUGAUCCUGGAUUCAGGACUCCAUUCUCAAGCUAUUUUAUUAAUAACCAAGAUGCGGUUAGAAGGGCUUAUAUUGCAUUGGGGCCAUGUCAACCAAAUAUAAAGAAGGAUGAUUUUCCCCAACAUGAAUGUGGAGGCAUAAGUCGCUUCCUACCAAAGUGGUUUUCCGAGUUUAAUUGGCUUGAGUAUAGUAUGGAUAAAGAUGUUGUAUUGUUUUGUUUGCUAUCUGUUCAAAGAUAACAACAAAUUCUCUGGUGGAGAUGCUUUCGUUAAUGAAGGUUUAGAAAUUGGAAUGUUAAAGCUAGAUUGCUUAAGCAUGUUGGUGUUGUUGAUAGUGCUCAUUGUGAAGCUGAGGAGAAAUAUAAUUUAUUUUUGACACCUAAAGCAUCAAUUUGUGAGUCAGUUGCCUCAAAUACUUCAUUGUAUAAGGAUCAAUACCUAGCUCGUUUGACAGGCAAUUCUUCUUGCAAGUCAAGGAUGAGGACAUUAUCACUCAAUUUCAAAGCUUAAAGGAUCGAAAGGUUGUCUUGCAAUAUGUAAGCUUCCUUAUACUA